CCCAAAUACAUUUUAUCAUAACCUCCAUUAAACUGAUUGUCAUAUAGCCUUCUGAAAAAAAUUAUACUUCAUUAGAGCACUUCUUAAAAAUGCAACGCAUUAACAGAACCCUACUUUCAGCACCGAAAGCCUUCAAAAUCAUCCAGAGAACCUGCACCAAAAACCCUCCGAGCCAGGAACCUCCACAGGAAUCCAAUAUUCCUAAAGAACCUCAAGCACCUCCACAAAAAAAGGAAGACCCACUCUUAAAAGCGGCGAAAACCAAAUACGCUAAAAUCGAUGGACCUGUUUUUGUUGCGGCACAUGUUGGAGAAGGUUUUACCAGGGCUGCAGUGAUCUGUUCCAAAGGAAAGAUUAUGGGGAUCGCACUUAGGCCCUGUAAGCUGUAUGAAAAAGGGAUAUUUUGUGAAAUGUCUUCUGAGGAGGUGUGGAAUAGCUUGAAGACUUGCAUUAAGAAAGCUGUAUCACUAACUAAAGGUAAGGAUAUUAAAGGAAUUGGAUUUACUGCUUUGCCUGCCUUGGUAACUCUUGAUAAAGAUGCCAAACCACUAACUGCCAGUACUAGUCGCAAUCCGAACAUAAACGUAAUUAUCCAUUUUGAUAAACGUUCAUGUUUGGAAGCCCUUAAAAUUGCCAAAACUAGACACUCCCUUUUACGGUACCUUGGCGAUAAUAUUCAUGCCGAUAUUUACGAAACAAAGCUGCUUUGGCUGAAAAAUAACUUGAGGGAAGAAUGCUGGGAUAAAGUGGGACAUUUUUUCAGCUUAACAGAUUUUUUGACUUGGAAAGCCACUGGGUCGCUUGUCAGAUCUUCUAGUACCCUACGGUCUCUUUGGAGCUACGAAAUUACUGCUAAUGGCAAAGAAGGCUGGAACGCCCAGUAUUUCACCGAAAUAGGUAUUCCAGAGGUGGCAGAUGAUAAUUUUAAAAUGAUCGGUAGUCAAAUUCAGCGACCAGGAACCCCAAUAGAAAACGGCCUAUCGGAAAACCUGGCUAUUGAGUUAGGCUUACCACCACACUUACCGGUUCCAAGUGGUCUUCCCGAUAUGUAUGCCGGAUGUUUAGGUAUCAUCGGGUGUAAUGUUAAAGAAAUUACCGACGAUGUCACACGAAGACUUUGUAUCGUCUAUGACAUGAAAUCAGCCUCCCAGUUUGUGGUGUCUCACGAGCCCCAUUUUAUAACAGGGGUUCGUGGUCCCUUUUUAGACUGCGUGCUCCCUAACAAGUGGCUAAACCACGCCGGGCAAACUACCGCCGAGAGCAUUUUAGAAUACAUCAUAGACACGCAUCCUGCCUCAGCGGAAAUAAGGAAACAAAUAGCCGAAAUGCAUAUUCAUAAAUACUUGAAUAAAAUCCUAAAGACAAUUGCACAAAAAAAGAAUUUAACCGCAAGAACGUUCCUUACGAGAUAUGUACACGUUUUGCCAGAUAUUAAUGGAAAUCAUAGUCCUUUAGCUGACCCAUAUAUUAGGGGGAUGAUUUCUGGUCUAACGGGAUCUUACAGUCAAGAAUCUUUGGCUAUUUUAUACCUCGCUGCAAUGCAAUCUAUAGCGCUCGAAGCAUAUUAUAAGCACAAUGACGCAGAACGGUCAUGAUAUUAGAAGCGUUAUUAUUGGCGGCCAUAUGGGGAAAAAUUCCCUAUUUGCAUCAAUACAUAGAGACAUCACCAGGUUACCAGUUGUGAUACCCGAUGAGCCCAAAUGUAAACUCAUGGGAGCAGCAAUUUUGGCUGGUAUUGCUUCUCAAUACUUCCGAGACUUCGACCACGCGAUGCAAGAGAUGUGCGGAAGUGGGCAAGUGCUACUCCCAGAUGAUGAUAGCGAACUAAUCGAAUAUCACGAGAAGAAGUACCAAGUUUUUUUAAAAAUGUAUGAUCACCAGCUGGAGUACAGGAGGAUCAUGGGAGACGUUAAAGAAGAGACUGUCCACGUUUUUCAUGAAGCAUAAUAAAUUAUUUUUCAAAUUAAACUUA
rnacentral:misc_RNA from 1 species